UCAGAUCUGUAUGGAUGCCACUUGGGUCAUUUGUCAUUUCACUUGAAGGCAAAGAAAUGUUUUUAACUGGGAUAAGAUUAGCUGCCGAGGUGGAGCUGAUAUCUGAGCGAGGCUCUCGAGGACACAUUCUGGAUAGAUCUCCAUAUGGGAGUUGGAUGACUGCCACCAGCCAGUCUUGGCAGUCCCCAGAAUUCUUCUGAAGUGGACAGUGGAAGAAGUGAAACAUUUGCCUGGCAGCUGGCAUCAAUGCAGUCUCUCUCUGGACAUGCAGAAGAAAAGGUUCAAAAGGAACUGAACCCAAACCAGUCUUUAUUUGGUAAAUAUCCCAGCUUCACGGUAGAAGAGCAGGCAUGGGGGAAAUAAAAGAAAACCCGCCUUUUUCAGGCCAGGGGGCAGGGAAGAGAAGCAGAGAGGAAUAAAGGGAGGAGGCCCCGGGGUGUCAGCAGAGAGGGGAGAGCUGCCAGGCUGUGGCCCCACGCCAGCCUCUGCCAUAGGGCUGUGUAAUCCUGGGGAAGGCGUUCAACCUCUGUGCCUCAGUUUCUUCACCUAUUAAAUGUGAGUGAUAA
rnacentral:lncRNA from 1 species